GAUGAACGCUGGCGGCGUGCCUAAUACAUGCAAGUCGAGCGAACGGACGAGAAGCUUGCUUCUCUGAUGUUAGCGGCGGACGGGUGAGUAACACGUGGAUAACCUACCUAUAAGACUGGGAUAACUUCGGGAAACCGGAGCUAAUACCGGAUAAUAUUUUGAACCGCAUGGUUCAAAAGUGAGAGACGGUCUUGCUGUCACUUAUAGAUGGAUCCGCGCUGCAUUAGCUAGUUGGUAAGGUAACGGCUUACCAAGGCAACGAUGCAUAGCCGACCUGAGAGGGUGAUUGGCCACACUGGAACUGAGACACGGUCCAGACUCCUACGGGAGGCAGCAGUAGGGAAUCUUCCGCAAUGGGCGAAAGCCUGACGGAGCAACGCCGCGUGAGUGAUGAAGGUCUUCGGAUCGUAAAACUCUGUUAUUAGGGAAGAACAUAUGUGUAAGUAACUGUGCACAUCUUGACGGUACCUAAUCAGAAAGCCACGGCUAACUACGUG
rnacentral:rRNA from 1 species